UUUCUCUCAUGAUUUAGCUGAACAGUAGCAAUUAUUAAUACAUCCUCCAAAAUAGACAUACACAUGAGAGAAAAACUCCACUUGAAAAAAGAAAAAAAAAAUAAUUAGGGAGGGAAAAAUCACUCCUAAGUGUAAAAAUCUUAUAAAUUGUCAAAAGAGUACUAGUAAUCAAAGUGUCUGACUUUCUCUUAUGCAAAUAUUACUGAAAAUCAUGCAUAUGCAAAUAAAGAUGCUUCUUUAUGACAGAGAUUAAAGACAUACAGUACAGUGAUUAGUAUUCCUUGUAUACAUUCAAAUACAGCAAGAUUGAUAUGCAAGCAAAAUGAAUUACAAUCCGGGAUAACACUCUAUUAUUAUCAUAUCACUCAAAACCAGUACCCAGUAGAUAAUAUAGCAUUCAGGGAAAUGUGAGAAUCUGGCAAAACAUUAGCAAGAGACAGGAAAAUUUCUCUUCCAGGAGUAUAAUUUUAUAUCACUCAUGAUUUAAAAAUCCAUAAGCUACAAACAAAAUACAAUGAAAAGUAUAUAAUGGUGUAAUUAUUUAUGAAACAAAAGCAGUUUUGCAUAUAUUUGUAGACCUAUGGAAAAGUUGAUGUUAUUGGAUCUUAGAUCCUGAGAAUCAAUGCUCAACUAGUCCAAAAAUUUUUCAUUAUAGAGGAAAGCUGUAACCGAAUCCAUUAUUGAGGGGGGAGGAGAGGUACUAAAUCCAAAUUAGAGAUUUAAUUUGAAAGCUGUUUGGGGGGACCAGCUCUUUCCUUAGGUCAAAGAUGGGUCUUAAAAUGUUAUGCAUGUCUGUUAAGAAGGACCAUUUACCCAAAAGUUUUCAGAGUUAGUUAUAUCACAGGUCGAGGUUAACAAUAAAUGUAGUUAUGGAGAAUUUCCUUUUGAAGAUUGAAUCACAUUAGCAAUUUAGGUAAUAAUAAUCUGUAGUUAUGGAUUAAUAAGGUGUCUUAUUCCUAGAUGGUUUAUUAGAAUUUCACUGAAAAAGAACAAAUAUGGUAUUUCUGAAAUUCACAUCCUUUAAAAAGGCAUACUGUGAAGAGUAGAUUGAUUUACUUCAAAUCUAUUGCCAGAUUUUUUUCAAAUCUCCAAGAUUCCCCAUAAUGUAUUCUCAGUGGUGGUUGAGUUAUUGCACCUCUUUUUAAGAAGUUGACAGACCUAUGCUACCUGAACAAAUCUCUAGUUCAUGUAUGACUUGGGAUUUGGAAAUGUUUGAAGUAUCACAUGCAAAGGUAGGGGUGAAAUAAGAAUUAGGCCUUUCAUUCUUGACUAUCUUCUAAAUUUGUCAAAAAAAAAAAUGAGGAUCCUAUAGAGAUUUAAUAGAGUAAAACAGCUAAGCAUCUUAAAUCAAAAGUGUAUUGCUGAGUAUCUAGGUUUUAAAUUCAGUGUUGUCUCUGGAGCAAUUUCACAUUAGGAAUGCCCAAUCUGUUGAACAGGAUUGAUUUUUGCUAAGUAUAUCUUGACAUCUAUUUCAAAAGUUAAUCUAUUUCCUUCCCAAAUGCUAGAAAUGAUCAGGGUUUAACUUCCUACUUGGAUGAUGAUAAUGAUGAUAUUAAGACACCAAUAACAUAGUUGUAUGGAGUUAUAUAAUCUUUAUGAAUUAGCUUGAUCAUAAAAAUACAGAAAGGGACAUGGGUAGAUUUUACCAUAAACCUUAGAUAUCUAGGGAGAAAGCGGAGAUAAAUGACCAACCAAAACUAUAUGUCAAGGCCACAAGGUUAAGUGGGAUGAGCUAACUGGGUAAUAAAACUCUUAUUAAGAGUACUCUAUAGUAGGUAGAUAUACUACUUCUCUCUUACUAUCUAAUGUCAAAAUUCCCUUGGUCUUAAACUUCAUUUGAAAAUAGAAAAAUUGAUGUUUGGAGUGCACAAUGUCUGCUAAUAUUUCCUAUAGUAAUGUUUCAGUUUGUAAUCAGUUAUCAGAGCUGAAGUUUGUUUGCACUUAAAAAAAGAUCCUAGGAGUUCCCUUGUAGCACAAUGGGCCCAGUGUUGUCACUACAAUGGCUUGGAUCACUGCUGUGACAUGGCUUCAGUCCCUAGCCCAGGAACUUCCAUAUGCUAUAGGUCAGCCAAAAAAGUGACUCUAUUUUUACAAGAAUCAUUUGCAAAUGAUUGUUUUAUGUUCGGUUGCUUUUUCCCUCCAUAGCAAUGUCAUUUGCAUUUCACACAAAAGGCAUUAUCAAUCAUAUCUUUUGUGUGGAAAUCAAGUUAUACAACUGUACUAAAAUAUGAGGUUAAUUUUUUAUGUUAUUGCUCAUUUAAUUUAAUUUAUUCAUAUUUUCCUAGUUUUAUCGAGAUAUAAUUAACAAAUAAAGUCGUAUGUAUUUAAAGUACACAAUAUGACGGUUUGAUAUAUGUAUACAUUUUAAAAUGAUCACCACAAUCAAGUUAAUUGAAAUCAAUUUCAAAAAUUAAUAAUAAUUUCCAUUUCCUUUUUGGUGAUGAGGACACCUAAUAUCCAUUCUCUUAGCAAAUUUCAGUUAUACAAUAUAUUAUUACCUAUAGUCACAGUUCUAUACAUUAGUUCACCAAAAGUUAUUCCAUCAGUGGACAUAAGUUUCAUCCAGCCCAAGAGUUCCAGGCUGCCCCUUCUGAUGAACUACUCAAAAGAUUUUGCCUUGCCUAGACAGCCCCACUACUGUGUGGGUGCACCCUUCCCUAGCCACUUUGAGUGUUGGCUACUAACACUCUAAGCCGCAUCUUCUGAGAAUCACCCUCUACACACUAGGAGGUUGGCUCCACAACCCCCAACCCAUACAAAUCCUUGUGAAUAUAUUGUGUCCAGCUGAUAAUCUGUAAUAAUCUAUUUUAAGUUGAAUCCUUUAAAUGUGUUAAUAUGACUUCUGGUCCAAGAUAGUGACUUAAAAGGCUCCUGGACUCAUAUCCUCCCACAGACUAACUGAAUAUAUAGCAACACAUGGAUCAAUUUCCACUGAAAGAAAUUAAAAACUAGCUGAGUAACUCCAGAACAUAUGAACAAGAAAAAAAAAAA
rnacentral:lncRNA from 1 species